ensembl:snRNA U6 U6 spliceosomal RNA
GUGCUCGCUUUGGCAGCACAUAUACUAAAAUUGGAAUGAUACAGAGAAGAUUAGCAUGACCCCUGCACAAGGAUGACAGGCCAAUCUGUGAAGUGUUUUAUGUUUUU